UACGUAGGGUGCAAGCGUUAAUCGGAAUUACUGGGCGUAAAGCGUGCGCAGGCGGCUUUGCAAGACAGAUGUGAAAUCCCCGGGCUCAACCUGGGAACUGCAUUUGUGACUGCAUAGCUAGAGUACGGUAGAGGGGGAUGGAAUUCCGCGUGUAGCAGUGAAAUGCGUAGAUAUGCGGAGGAACACCGAUGGCGAAGGCAGUCCCCUGGACCUGUACUGACGCUCAUGCACGAAAGCGUGGGGAGCAAACAGG
rnacentral:rRNA from 1 species